GGUUCCUUGGUGUAGCUGGUUUAACACGCAUCCCUGUCACGGAUGAGAUCAUGGGUUCGAGUCCCAUAGGAACCGCCA
rnacentral:tRNA from 1 species